GAGUAAUGUCUGGGAAACUGCCUGAUGGAGGGGGAUAACUACUGGAAACGGUGGCUAAUACCGCAUAACGUCGCAAGACCAAAGAGGGGGACCUUCGGGCCUCUUGCCAUCAGAUGUGCCCAGAUGGGAUUAGCUUGUUGGUGAGGUAACGGCUCACCAAGGCGACGAUCCCUAGCUGGUCUGAGAGGAUGACCAGCCACACUGGAACUGAGACACGGUCCAGACUCCUACGGGAGGCAGCAGUGGGGAAUAUUGCACAAUGGGCGCAAGCCUGAUGCAGCCAUGCCGCGUGUAUGAAGAAGGCCUUCGGGUUGUAAAGUACUUUCAGCGGGGAGGAAGGUGUUGUGGUUAAUAACCGCAGCAAUUGACGUUACCCGCAGAAGAAGCACCGGCUAACUCCGUGCCAGCAGCCGCGGUAAUACGGAGGGUGCAAGCGUUAAUCGGAAUUACUGGGCGUAAAGCGCACGCAGGCGGUCUGUCAAGUCGGAUGUGAAAUCCCCGGGCUCAACCUGGGAACUGCAUUCGAAACUGGCAGGCUUGAGUCUUGUAGAGGGGGGUAGAAUUCCAGGUGUAGCGGUGAAAUGCGUAGAGAUCUGGAGGAAUACCGGUGGCGAAGGCGGCCCCCUGGACAAAGACUGACGCUCAGGUGCGAAAGCGUGGGGAGCAAACAGGAUUAGAUACCCUGGUAGUCCACGCCGUAAACGAUGUCUACUUGGAGGUUGUGCCCUUGAGGCGUGGCUUCCGGAGCUAACGCGUUAAGUAGACCGCCUGGGGAGUACGGCCGCAAGGUUAAAACUCAAAUGAAUUGACGGGGGCCCGCACAAGCGGUGGAGCAUGUGGUUUAAUUCGAUGCAACGCGAAGAACCUUACCUGGUCUUGACAUCCACAGAAGAAUCCAGAGAUGGAUUUGUGCCUUCGGGAACUGUGAGACAGGUGCUGCAUGGCUGUCGUCAGCUCGUGUUGUGAAAUGUUGGGUUAAGUCCCGCAACGAGCGCAACCCUUAUCCUUUGUUGCCAGCGAUUAGGUCGGGAACUCAAAGGAGACUGCCAGUGAUAAACUGGAGGAAGGUGGGGAUGACGUCAAGUCAUC
rnacentral:rRNA from 1 species